rnacentral:tRNA from 1 species
GGAUUGUGGCUCAGUGGUAGAGCACUCGCCGGGCAUGUGCGAGGCCCUGGGUUUGAUCCUCAGCACCA